AGCAGCCGCGGUAAUUCCAGCUCCAAUAGCGUAUAUUAAAGUUGUUGCAGUUAAAAGCUCGUAGUUGAAUUUCGGGGUUCUACCGUUGGUCGGGCUUUGUCUGUACUGGCGUGUAGAAUUUCUACCUUCUGGGGAACUAUCAUGUUAUUAAUUUAGCGUGGUAGGAAACCAGGACCUUUACCUUGAAAAAUUAGAGUGUUCAAAGCAGGCUUAUGUCUGAAUACAUUAGCAUGGAAUAAUAAAAUAGGACGGUGGUCCUGUUUUGUCGGUUUCUGAAUCACCGUAAUGAUUAAUAGGGAUAGUUGGGGGCAUUAGUAUUCAAUUGUCAGAGGUGAAAUUCUUGGAUUUAUUGAAGACUAACUACUGCGAAAGCAUUUGCCAAGGAUGUUUUACAUUUAACCAUGAACGAAAGUUAGGGAUCGAAGACGAUACAGAUACCGUCGUAGUCUUAACCAUAAACUAUGCCGACUAGGGAUCGGGACG
rnacentral:rRNA from 1 species